GUGUUGGAAGUGGCGAUGCAUACAAAAUUUUGUUGAAGGUAGAAACCUUCAACAAAAUUUUGUAUGCAUCGCCACUUCCAACACUU